AACAGGAUUAGAUACCCUGGUAGUCCACGCCGUAAACGAUGUCGACUUGGAGGUUGUGCCCUUGAGGCGUGGCUUCCGGAGCUAACGCGUUAAGUCGACCGCCUGGGGAGUACGGCCGCAAGGUUAAAACUCAAAUGAAUUGACGGGGGCCCGCACAAGCGGUGGAGCAUGUGGUUUAAUUCGAUGCAACGCGAAGAACCUUACCUGGUCUUGACAUCCACAGAACUUUCCAGAGAUGGAUUGGUGCCUUCGGGAACUGUGAGACAGGUGCUGCAUGGCUGUCGUCAGCUCGUGUUGUGAAAUGUUGGGUUAAGUCCCGCAACGAGCGCAACCCUUAUCUUUUGUUGCCAGCGGUCCGGCCGGGAACUCAAAGGAGACUGCCAGUGAUAAACUGGAGGAAGGUGGGGAUGACGUCAAGUCAUCAUGGCCCUUACGACCAGGGCUACACACGUGCUACAAUGGCGCAUACAAAGAGAAGCGACCUCGCGAGAGCAAGCGGACCUCAUAAAGUGCGUCGUAGUCCGGAUUGGAGUCUGCAACUCGACUCCAUGAAGUCGGAAUCGCUAGUAAUCGUGGAUCAGAAUGCCACGGUGAAUAUGUCCCCGGGCCUUGUACACACCGCCCGUCACACCAUGGGAGUGGGUUGCAAAAGAAGUAGGUAGCUUAACCUUCGGGAGGGCGCUUACCACUUUGUGAUUCAUGACUGGGGUGAAGUCGUAACAAGGUAACC
rnacentral:rRNA from 1 species